CAGGACUAGAGCAGGUGACUCCAAAAGGAAAACAGUCUCUUCUUUUACACUGAAUAUGGACUGGGGAGAGUGACCUUGAGGUUAUAGUGGUCACAAGAUGGCACCCGAAAAUGAAGCAAAUACAGGGAAAGACCGACCUCAAUCCCAGGAAAUAUUGUCCUGAUGAUUUCUCCUGAGCUCCUGAAUCACGUUUGAAGCCAGAUUUCCUCUGGAUUUUUUAGCUCCUUGAGUAAAUAAAUUGCUUUGUCUCUUCUUAAGCCUAUUAAGGUUCUUUUUUCUAUUCAUAACCAAGAGAGUCCUAGAUUACCCACAGAUCUUGUCACAGUGCCUAAAGUUUCAUGUUGCUUGUUCCCUUGCAUUAAUGCAGGAAAUAGAGCUGUAAAAUGGCAAAUGGGCUAUCAACCAUCAGCCCAAGAGUGCUUUGUCAUUUGAUAACUAUCAUUUUCAUUUACUUGGUAAUACUCACAAUUCAAUUUUAAGCCUCCAGGGAUAGAACACAAAAUCAUAUUGAACAACAGCAGAAAAGUCCACCAUGAAGUUUCAUCAUCUACAGCUCUCCUUUUAUGUGAUGUCCCUUGGAGUUCUAUGAAGAACAGUAACUCAGACCCUAGAAGAGGCUGAAACCACUCCCAGCAGCAAGCACAGCAGACAUGAAAAUGGAGAAGAACAGUGUCAUCUGUGACGAAAGGCCUGGCUGAGCUCCACCUUGCCCCAUGCCAUCUCCAGGAGAGCUGAUUUUGCAGGUGAAGCUGGAGAAGAUGACAGAUGUAAAAGAAGUCAGCUUGGCCCUGGCAGCUGAAGGUUCUAGGAAAAAAAUCUCUCAGGCCCAGGAAGCCUGGUGCUGAAGAUAUGAGGGUAGGGUCGAGGAUUCAAGGAAUCUAGCCAUGAUGUCAGGGUCCUGGUCCCUGUAAGAAACUGGAUCGCUAACUCUGAAACCC
ensembl:lncRNA